rnacentral:misc_RNA from 1 species
GAUGAAGAACGCAGCGAAAUGCGAUACGUAGUGUGAAUUGCAGAAUUCAGUGAAUCAUCGAAUCUUUGAACGCAGAUUGCACCUCUCGGUAUUCCGGGAGGUAUGCCUGUUCGAGCGUCAUUUGUACCCUCAAGCUCUGCUUGGUGUUGGGUGUUUGUUCCGCCUCUGUGUGUGAACUCGCCUCAAAACAAUUGGCAGCCGGCGUACUUGUUUCGGAGCGCAGCACAUUUUGCGAUCCAGAUCAACGUACAGCGGCAUCCAAGAAGCCUUAUUUAACGCUCUUGACCUCGGAUCAGGUAGGGAUACCCGCUGAACUUAAGCAUAUCAAUAAGCGGAGGA